AGCUAAUACAUGCACCAAAGCUCUGACCUUGCGGAAAGAGUGCAUUUAUUAGAGCAAAACCAAGCGGCCUCGGUCGUUUUUUGCUGACUCAGAAUAACUUAGCUGAUCGCACGGUCUUUGAACCGGCGACGUGUCUUUUGAGUAUCUGCCUUAUCAAUUUUCGAUGGUAGUGUAUCUGACUACCAUGGUGUUGACGGGUAACGGAGAAUAAGGGUUCGACUCCGGAGAAGGGGCCUGAGAAAUGGCCACUACGUCUAAGGAUGGCAGCAGGCGCGCAAAUUACCCACUCUCGGAAUGAGGAGGUAGUGACGAGAAAUAACGAGACCGUUCUCUAUGAGGCCGGUUAUCGGAAUGGGUACAAUUUAAACCCUUUAACGAGUAUCUAUGAGAGGGCAAGUCUGGUGCCAGCAGCCGCGGUAAUUCCAGCUCUCAAAAUGCAUAGAACCAUUGCUGCGGUUAAAAAGCUCGUAGUUGAAUUUAUGCCAGAGGCCUGGUCCACCUUAUGGGUGUGUACUAGGUUCUUCGGCUUUUCGUCGGUUUUCUUGUCGUGGCCUUUACUGGUGGCGGCAAGUGGCUGACAAUUUUACUUUGAACAAAUCAGAGUGCUCAAAACAGGCGUUUUGCUUGUAUGCUUUUGCAUGGAAUAAUAGAAUAUGACUUCGGUCUAGUUUUAUUGGUUUUAUAGACCGUUGUAAUGAUUAAAAGAGACAAACGGGGGCAUUCGUAUUGUUGCGUGAGAGGUGAAAUUCUUGGACCGCAGCAAGACGACCUACAGCGAAAGCAUUUGCCAAGCUUGUCUUCAUUAAUC
rnacentral:rRNA from 1 species